GUGACAGAGCUGUUUGGAACUCACCUUGUGUCCCCAUCCUGAGCUGCUAGCUCCCAUCUCUCCACUCAGUGAGCAGCUCCUAUGGCCGAUCCCCAAGUGCAGAGUACUCUGGGCUACUCUCUUCCCUGACAGCCCCAGACAGAGGAGACAGAGAUCUUGGGGUGAGACUCGAGCUUCUUCCAGAGUGAGUCUGUCCCACAAGGGCUACACCCCAGCCUAGAAGACAUGCCCAAAAUGCCUGUCACCAAAUGUUCAAAGACCCUGUGAGGUACAUCUUCUAGACUGAAGUGAAGCCGUUUUAGCCCAGUCUUUCUUCUUGAAGCCCUCCGCAUUCCCUCUGUUUGUAGCCGUACCUGUCGCCGCUCGCUCUGGAGCAAAAUUGUUCACCUCGGGAGCUCGGGCUGCGGGUCCGAGUUCUGCACCGGAUGCCCGUGUUGGCUGGCUCAGGAGCUGUGGGGCGGGCUUGGAGCUCACAGGGCGCAGAUGUCCCCUGACAGUCCCGGGAGCCUGCGGCCGCCCCCAGCACCAGGCCGCGCUCCCCUCAGUAGGCACCCCAGGGGCUUGGAUCUGCGCUGGAAACUGCCCCUGGCAGAGAAGGAGCAGUAGGAGCGCAAACCUUACCCUCCGCUCCGCACCGUCGGCCAAGUGAACCCAAUUCCAAUUCCGUAAUAAAAGGAUGCAGAGGUG